AUGAGCAGUGUGCCUAUAGAUUCAGACGUCCUUUCCUUGACCUCCACCAACGUCCCGCUCCUGGUCCCUAGAAAACUUGUGGUGGCUCACACGCCUGGCAUUCCUAAACGGUAUGAGCUUCUCUUGAAGCAUUUGACUUAUCUUUUGUGCUGUGACAAUGAAGGGAAGUCUUAUGUCUGUUGCUCGAAUCAAAGGAUCAUGUUUCUAAGGUGGAGUAAGGCAGACAUGUGCCUGUUUUUUGAGUGGGAAGAAGAGGAGGAGCAGAUGAUUUGCUGGAUGCAUGAUAUUGCCAACAAUGUCUGCAUGAAGUUCCUUCUUAAUCCAGCAAUAAUACAUGGAAAAAAUUUCAUCACAGCCAAACGACCCGCAAUUGCUUUUUCAUCCGAUUUGAGUAACACUGAAGUGAAAAAAAGGCUCAUUACUAUCUUUGGCUCUUCAGAGAAUGAAGAUUUACUAAAAAGUGAUCAUCUAUUUGUUUUCACCACAACUGGAUCUUCAUUAUGUUUCAGGAAUUUCAAGGUAUUGAAUCCUACUAGCAGAUUUUCAGUUUUUAUUGCGGUGAUAUCUGGCAAUCUAGCUUUUUUGGCCUCACAGUAG
rnacentral:rRNA from 1 species